rnacentral:lncRNA from 1 species
ACUAUGUAGCUAGCGUAGGUUGAGAUAUUAACAUGCUAUUUGAGGGUUGAUCUCAUAUGGGUACUUGCCAGUUAGGGUAACCCUCAGUUCUUUGAGAUAACUCUUUAGUGGAUCCUCAUAGCCAGUAUUAGUACCCGUGGCAUGGUACUGACAUCCUUCCAACUGGGGUCACAAGUUGGAGCCCAAAUUACUCAUUGGGGCAUGUCAGUUAGAUGAUAGCUCACACAGUUUCAGUCCAGAAAUUAGCUCAGUAAUUCAAUUUUAGCUG